rnacentral:rRNA from 1 species
UGGGGAAUAUUGGACAAUGGGCGCAAGCCUGAUCCAGCAAUGCCGCGUGUGUGAAGAAGGCCUUCGGGUUGUAAAGCACUUUUAUCAGGAGCGAAACGCUGUCGGCUAAUACCCGGCGGAACUGACGGUACCUGAGAAUAAGCACCGGCUAACUUCGUGCCAGCAGCCGCGGUAAUACGAAGGGUGCAAGCGUUAAUCGGAAUUACUGGGCGUAAAGCGUGCGUAGGCGGUUUCUUAAGUCUGCUGUGAAAUCCCCGGGCUCAACCUGGGAAUGGCAGUGGAUACUGGGAGGCUAGAGUGUGUCAGAGGGUGGUGGAAUUCCCGGUGUAGCGGUGAAAUGCGUAGAGAUCGGGAGGAACAUCAGUGGCGAAGGCGGCCACCUGGGACAACACUGACGCUGAGGCACGAAAGCGUGGGGGAGCAAACAGGAUUAGGAUACCCUGGUAGUCCACGCCCUAAAGCGAUGCGAACUGGAUGUUGGUCUCAACUCGGAGAUCAGUGUCGAAGCUACGCGUUAAGUUCGCCGCCUGGGGAGUACGGUCGCAAGACUGAAACUCAAAGGAAUUGACGGGGUCAUAGCUGUUUCC